GUACAAUACAGCUUAUAAACCGCAUCCCUCGGUAGACCGCAAGCCAUAGUAGAAAUGCGACGGUAGACAUCAAUUUUACUAACUGCAUUUUCUCAUUAGAUAAGUUUAUUAAGGCAUAUUUAAGAGGCAAACUGUUACGUAUUUUAUAUUUCAAUAAAUCAACAAAAAUGAUCACAUUCAAUUUAUUUUUCAAAUAUCUGUAUGGGUCAUAGAGAAAUAAAAACAAGAGAGUGGUCAAAAGAUAGGCCAAAGCACAUUUGUUUCUGCGCAGGUAAGUAGCACAUCGGGGCGCUGCUGUUUAUAAAACUAAAAUUUUUAGCAUGCUGUGUCAUGGUACAAUAAAGAAUUUAUUGUACCGUGACAAUUUACUUGAUGACAUUGACUUUUUACUCUUUUUAGGUUGUGUCAUGGUUGUGUUUUUAUCAUGUUUUUACGACUCCAUUUUGUUGCUGUGAUUAAUUGUUUCACUUAUCUAAAUAUAUUGAAUUGGUGGAAUUGAAUAUUGGUACUUACUAGUACUGUUAACUGUUAAGCUGAUAAUACAGUACAAAUUGGAAUUACACAAGUGAUAAUGGACUAAUGGAUAGUGUACGUAGUGUAUAGUGUACAUACAAAUAAAAAACUAGUGAUAUUGUGACAAAAGACAGUGUUUUGCAAGUAGGUAGGCUAAAUAUCAAUAAAGGUUAA
rnacentral:lncRNA from 1 species